GAUGAACGCUGGCGGCGUGCCUAAUACAUGCAAGUCGAGCGAGAUGUUAGCGCAUGAACCUUCGGGGGAUUAUGCUAACGGACAGCGGCGGACGGGUGAGUAACGCGUAGGCAACCUGCCCCUGACAGAGGGAUAGCCAUUGGAAACGAUGAUUAAAACCUCAUGACACCGUAGAAGCACAUGCUUCAUCGGUCAAAGAUUUAUCGGUCAGGGAUGGGCCUGCGUCUGAUUAACUAGUUGGUGAGGUAACGGCUCACCAAGGUGACGAUCAGUAGCCGACCUGAGAGGGUGAUCGGCCACAUUGGAACUGAGACACGGUCCAAACUUCUACGGAAGGCAGCAGUAGGGAAUCUUGCACAAUGGGCGAAAGCCUGAUGCAGCAACGCCGCGUNAAGGANGAAGGCCUUCGGGUUGUAAACUUCUGUUCUAAGGGAAGAAACAAANGACG
rnacentral:rRNA from 1 species